GCGAGAAAAGACUUUAAUACCGGGCAACAACAUUGAUUUUAAUCCACAUUAUUGAGCAGUGAACUCACUGGGAUCACGCUAACUGAGGAGUAUUCAAAGUAACUUGAAAAUUGCAAAAACUGGUGUGUGAGAGGAGUUUGGGGAGGCCAUGGAGAAGGACUGGUGCAGAGUUCAGGAAGGUGACAGCUGAGGGGAUGAAGCUGUCACCUUGCCUGCUUGUCCUGGAACGGAGAGUCCUGUAUCGCCUCCUGCAGGGGAGGAGGACAAACAGAGAACUGGUGAUGCGUUGGGCAGUUUUCACCACCUUCUGCAGUGCUUUCUGGUCCAAGACAGAGCUGUUGCCAUACCACACUGAGAUGCAUUUGAAAAGAAAGGAAAGACCUCCCUUCACCGGCUCGGCUGUCAGCAGUGGUUAGAGCUCCAGGAGAUGAGAGGAGGAGAGAGGAGGAGAGAGAUGGGAGGAUGAGGAAGAGAGGACGAGGAGGAUUAGAGGGAGAGAGAAAGAGAGAGAGAGAGAGAGAGGAGUUGAGGAGAUGUUGAGUGUUUUCAUUCAUCUUUCUGGGUAAUUUUUUUUUGCUGGAUGAAACCCUUACUGUGAGACCUGUCAAAAUAUGAGAGAGUGAGAGAUGCAGGGAGAUAAAAAGAGAGAGAAAGUGAGGGUUUGACUUUAGAAAACUUCUCUGCCCUCCCAGCGACAGUUCGGCUUCCAGCAGAAGUUACAUAAAACAUCAACAAAGAAAUAAAAGCAUGAUGUUUUCAGAUGCAACAACUGCAAUAAUCAGGGAUGUUUAAAGUACUCUGCAAUCACUACAUUUUUA